UACGUAGGAGGCAAGCGUUGUCCGGAGUUACUGGGCGUAAAGGGCCCGCAGGCGGUGGAGUAAGUUUGGAGUGACAGUUCCCAGCUUAACCGGGAAAGGACUUCGAAAAACUGCUCGACUUGAGGACUGGAGAGGAAGGCGGAAUUCCGGGUGGAGCGGUGAAAUGCGUAGAGAUCCGGAGGAACACCGACGGCGAAGGCAGC
rnacentral:rRNA from 1 species